rnacentral:rRNA from 1 species
GACGAACGCUGGCGGCGUGCUUAACACAUGCAAGUCGAACGAAGGGCGACGGAAGCUUGCUUCUAUCAAUCUUAGUGGCGAACGGGUGAGUAACGCGUAAUCAACCUGCCCUUCAGAGGGGGACAACAGUUGGAAACGACUGCUAAUACCGCAUACGAUCUAAUCUCGGCAUCGAGGAUGGAUGAAAGGUGGCCUCUACAUGUAAGCUAUCACUGAAGGAGGGGAUUGCGUCUGAUUAGCUAGUUGGAGGGGUAACGGCCCACCAAGGCGAUGAUCAGUAGCCGGUCGGAGAGGAUGAGCGGCCACAUUGGGACUGAGACACGGCCCAGACUCCUACGGGAGGCAGCAGUGGGGAAUCUUCCGCAAUGGACGAAAGUCUGACGGAGCAACGCCGCGUGAGUGAUGACGGCCUUCGGGUUGUAAAGCUCUGUUAAUCGGGACGAAAGGCCUUCUUGCGAAUAGUGAGAAGGAUUGACGGUACCGGAAUAGAAAGCCACGGCUAACUACGUG